CCUACGGGUGGCAGCAGUGAGGAAUAUUGGUCAAUGGGCGGGAGCCUGAACCAGCCAAGUCGCGUGAGGGAAGACGAUCCUAUGGAUUGUAAACCUCUUUAGGCGGGGAGCAAUGCCGGGCACGCGUGCCCGGAGGGAGAGUACCCGCAGAAUAAGCAUCGGCUAACUCCGUGCCAGCAGCCGCGGUAAUACGGAGGAUGCGAGCUUUAUCCGGAUUUGUUGGGGUAAAAGGGUGCGUAGGCGGAUUUGUAAGUCAGCGGUAAAAUGUCCGGGCUCAACCCGGGCCGGCCGUUGAAACUGGGGAUCUUGAGUGGGCGAGAAGUAUGCGGAAUGCGUGGUGUAGCGGUGAAAUGCAUAGAUAUCACGCAGAACUCCGAUCGCGAAGGCAGCCUACCGGCGCGCAACUGACGCUCAUGCACGAAAGCGUGGGUAUCGAACAGGAUUAGAUACCCGAGUAGUC
rnacentral:rRNA from 1 species